rnacentral:rRNA from 1 species
GACGAACGCUGGCGGCGUGCCUAAUACAUGCAAGUCGAGCGAGACUCUUCGGAGUCUAGCGGCGGACGGGUGAGUAACACGUGGGCAACCUGCCUGUAAGACUGGGAUAACACCGGGAAACCGGUGCUAAUACCGGAUAAUCCUUUUCCUCUCAUGAGGAAAAGCUGAAAGUCGGUUUCGGCUGACACUUACAGAUGGGCCCGCGGCGCAUUAGCUAGUUGGUGAGGUAACGGCACACCAAGGCGACGAUGCGUACCCGACCUGAGAGGGUGAUCGGCCACACUGGGACAGAGACACGGCCCAGACUCCUACGGGAGGCAGCAGUAGGGAAUCUUCCACAAUGGACGAAAGUCUGAUGGAGCAACGCCGCGUGAGCGAUGAAGGCCUUCGGGUCGUAAAGCUCUGUUGUUAGGGAAGAACAAGUACCGGAGUAACUGCCGGUACCUUGACGGUACCUAACCAGAAAGCCACGGCUAACUACGUGCCAGCAGCCGCCGCAG